UACUCUGAUCGCUCUAUAAUGCAGUCGAGCGACUGAUUAGAAGCUUGCUUCUAUGACGUUAGCGGCGGACGGGUGAGUAACACGUGGGCAACCUGCCUGUAAGACUGGGAUAACUUCGGGAAACCGAAGCUAAUACCGGAUAGGAUCUUCUCCUUCAUGGGAGAUGAUUGAAAGAUGGUUUCGGCUAUCACUUACAGAUGGGCCCGCGGUGCAUUAGCUAGUUGGUGAGGUAACGGCUCACCAAGGCAACGAUGCAUAGCCGACCUGAGAGGGUGAUCGGCCACACUGGGACUGAGACACGGCCCAGACUCCUACGGGAGGCAGCAGUAGGGAAUCUUCCGCAAUGGACGAAAGUCUGACGGAGCAACGCCGCGUGAGUGAUGAAGGCUUUCGGGUCGUAAAACUCUGUUGUUAGGGAAGAACAAGUACAAGAGUAACUGCUUGUACCUUGACGGUACCUAACCAGAAAGCCACGGCUAACUACGUGCCAGCAGCCGCGGUAAUACGUAGGUGGCAAGCGUUAUCCGGAAUUAUUGGGCGUAAAGCGCGCGCAGGCGGUUUCUUAAGUCUGAUGUGAAAGCCCACGGCUCAACCGUGGAGGGUCAUUGGAAACUGGGGAACUUGAGUGCAGAAGAGAAAAGCGGAAUUCCACGUGUAGCGGUGAAAUGCGUAGAGAUGUGGAGGAACACCAGUGGCGAAGGCGGCUUUUUGGUCUGUAACUGACGCUGAGGCGCGAAAGCGUGGGGAGCAAACAGGAUUAGAUACCCUGGUAGUCCACGCCGUAAACGAUGAGUGCUAAGUGUUAGAGGGUUUCCGCCCUUUAGUGCUGCAGCUAACGCAUUAAGCACUCCGCCCUGCGGAGUACGGUCGCAAGAGUGUAACUCAAANGGAUUUAACGAGGGCCCGCCACAACCGGUUGGAGCAUGUGGGUUUAUUUCGAAACCACCGCGCAACAAACUUUACUAAGGUCGUGGACGGCCGCCUGACAAACUCUACGAGAGGGAAUCGUUGCCCCUUCCCCUGGGAAAGGAAAGAAAGUGUUUGUCCUGUGGUUGUUCGUUCACCUCCGAGUCCCGUUGGAAGGUUUGUGGUAAGGGACAUGUCUCCCUAACUCAAACGCGUUGGCUUUUUGAUUUGGACAAGAAUUUCACUUUUGGUUGGCUGG
rnacentral:rRNA from 2 species